rnacentral:lncRNA from 1 species
GUAUUGCAACGCACUUGUCGUGGGCACGUCUAUUAUCGCGACAAUGAUUCUGGUAACGAAAAAAGGCGGAAUUAGAAACCAGUCCCUAUGGAUUCGACCCUACUACUAUAUAUUCUAAUUUACUAUUAUUUUGUUGUAGGAAUUUAUAUUUAGUGGUUUCGACGCCCAUCAAAUUUUGGCGCUAUUGUCGGGGAUUGGGGAAAAUUUAUAAUUUUUGUUUGUUUUCUUUAUGACCAGCUCAGAACCGAAGACUCUAGCAUUUGGACCAGAGAAGAAAAGUUGUCUUGCACACUUCAAAGAGAAGCUAUUCGGUGCGGUAAACAACCACAACCCGAUUUUGAAUAAGGAUCUUACACUGAAGAUAUCUACUUAUCCAAAGGUUCAGAC